UACGUAGGGGGCAAGCGUUGUCCGGAUUUAUUGGGCGUAAAGAGCGUGUAGGCGGCCAGACAGGUCCGUUGUGAAAACUCGAGGCUCAACCUCGAGACGUCGAUGGAAACCGUCUGGCUAGAGUCCGGAAGAGGAGAGUGGAAUUCCUGGUGUAGCGGUGAAAUGCGCAGAUAUCAGGAAGAACACCCGUGGCGAAGGCGGCUCUCUGGGACGGUACUGACGCUGAGACACGAAAGCGUGGGGAGCGAACAGG
rnacentral:rRNA from 1 species